AACGAACGCUGUCGGCAUGCCUAACACAUGCAAGUCGAACGAACCCUUCGGGGUUAGUGGCGCACGGGUGCGUAACGCGUGGGAAUCUGCCCUUUGCUUCGGAAUAACUCAGGGAAACUUGUGCUAAUACCGGAUGAUGUCUUCGGACCAAAGAUUUAUCGGCAAGGGAUGAGCCCGCGUAGGAUUAGGUAGUUGGUGGGGUAAAGGCCUACCAAGCCGACGAUCCUUAGCUGGUCUGAGAGGAUGAUCAGCCACACUGGGACUGAGACACGGCCCAGACUCCUACGGGAGGCAGCAGUGGGGAAUAUUGGACAAUGGGCGCAAGCCUGAUCCAGCAAUGCCGCGUGAGUGAUGAAGGCCCUCGGGUCGUAAAGCUCUUUUACCAGGGAUGAUAAUGACAGUACCUGGAGAAUAAGCUCCGGCUAACUCCGUG
rnacentral:rRNA from 1 species